AAACAUAUGAUUUUGCGUUUUGGCCGUGGCUACAGAAAUCAAAUAAGAAAAGGGUUGAUCAGCUUUGUAAGGGGCACUUGGAAAAUAUUAUAACGAAACAUGGCUAUUCGAUUAACUCAGAAACUGCUGCAAGCCCAGGUGCCCUUCUUAACACGAGGAUAUCCCCUGCUGGUGACCAAGGAAAAAACUGAAGACGUGGCACACACCAAAUCGGCUUUGCAAAAGAAAGUAACGGACACGGAUAUACCCUCGGCGCAAUAUGGUGGCCGUCAUGGGGUCACUAUGCUGCCCGGCGGUGGCAUCGGACCCGAAUUGAUGGGCUAUGUUCGUGAGAUCUUCAGAUAUUGUGGUGCUCCCAUUGAUUUUGAGGUAAUCGACAUUGAUCCCUCCACCGAGGGCAAUGAUGAUCUGGACUAUGCAAUUACCUCCAUCAAGCGUAAUGGCGUGGCACUCAAGGGUAAUAUUGAGACGAAAUCGCAAAGUUUAAGCGAAGUCUCCCGCAAUGUGGCCAUCCGCAAUGAGCUUGAUCUCUACGUGAAUGUGGUGCACUGCAAGUCAUAUCCAGGCAUUCCUGCGCGCCACAAGGACGUCGAUGUUGUGCUCAUCCGCCAGAACACGGAUGGUGAGUAUGCCAUGUUGGAGCAUGAGUCUGUGCGCGGCGUUGUGGAGAGCAUGAAGGUGGUUACUGUGGACAAUGCUGAGCGUGUGGCACGCUAUGCCUUCGAAUAUGCGCGUCAGAACAAUCGCAAACGCGUGACGACCAUCCACAAGGCAAACAUCAUGAAACUUUCGGACGGUCUGUUCCUGGAAGUAGCCAAUCGUGUGCACAAGGACUAUCCCGAGCUGGAGCAUAACAACAUGAUUAUUGACAACACUUGCAUGCAGGCCGUCUCGAACCCCCACCAGUUCGAUGUCAUGAAUAUGACUAACUUGUAUGGCACAAUUGUGUCGAACGUGAUUUGUGGACUGAUUGGCGGCGCUGGUCUAAUCUCUGGACGCAACUAUGGCGAUCACUAUGCCGUCUUUGAGCCUGGCACCCGUAACACAGGCACUGCCAUUGCCGGCAAGAAUAUAGCCAAUCCCGUGGCCAUGAUCAAUGCCAGCAUUGAUAUGUUGAAUCAUUUGGGCCACAAGGAGCAUGCGCAGGUUAUCUAUGACGCUACCUACCAGACAAUUGUUAACGAUGCUAUUCGCACGCCAGAUCUCGGCGGCAAUCACAGCAGCACCGAUGUGGUUGAAAACAUUCUCAAGAUCUUGAGUGCCAAGCGCGUGAAUUGGCCACAUGGAAAAUUUUUCACCCAGUCUUAGGUACCCUAUCCGAAUACGCAAGCUAAAGCCCUACUAAACAGCAAAAAUAAUAAAACCAAAAAAUAAAAUAAAAUCUUAUAAUAAAUUUGAUAUUAACCCAACUAAGCCAAUCAGAACCAACAACAAUUGUUAAAAGUUAUUUCAUCUUCAAAGCCAAUGCAUAAAGUGUUUAUUGUGAUGUCAAUAAAUAUUGUUAGAAGCAAUCCAUUUAUUUAUUUAAUGUGGUCAAAACAUUAUCGCUGCUUUACCAAUUGAAAACAAACAAAUCUCCCCGCCCCGGCUAUGUGUUAUGUGUUCUGUGCACCUCCGACGCUCAGUGUUAUACUGCAGAGCUUCUUUCGAGUCAGUAAUGCUUUGAACUACUUUGACUCUUUUUAAACUUUGUUGACCCAAUUUGGCAAGAGCACAAUCCUUAAGCGAAAAAAAAAAUA
rnacentral:misc_RNA from 1 species